rnacentral:misc_RNA from 1 species
GAUGAAGAACGUAGCGAAAUGCGAUAAGUAAUGUGAAUUGCAGAAUUCAGUGAAUCAUCGAAUCUUUGAACGCACAUUGCGCCCGCGAGUAUUCUCGCGGGCAUGCCUGUCCGAGCGUCAUUUCAACCCUCAGGGCCCGCCUGCUUGCAGGCGCGGCGCUGGUGUUGGGGAUCGGCUACCCUGCCGUCCCCCAAAUACAGUGGCGGUCUCGCUGCAGCCUCCCCUGCGUAGUAGCAACACUCGCAUGCGGAGCGCGGCGCGGCCACGCCGUAAAACCCCCGACUUUCUGAACGUUGACCUCGGAUCAGGUAGGAAUACCCGCUGAACUUAAGCAUAUCAAGCGGAGGA